GAUGAACGCUGGCGGCGUGCCUAACACAUGCAAGUCGAGCGGACGGACGAGAAGCUUGCUUGUCUGAUGUUUGCCGCGGACGGGAGAGUAACACGUGGAAACCCUCCUUAUAAGUCUGGGAUAACUUCGGGAAACCGGAGCUAAUACGGGAUAAGAUUUUGAACCGCGGGGUUGAAUAGUGAAAGACGGUGUUGCGGUCACUUAUAGAUGGAUCCGCGCUGCAUUAGCUAGUUGGUAAGGUAACGGCUUACCAAGGCAACGAUGCAUAGCCGACCUGAGAGGGGGAUCGGCCACACUGGAACUGAGACACGGUCCAGACUCCUACGGGAGGCAGCAGUCGGGAAUGUGGCGCAAUGGGCGAAAGCCUGACGCAGCGACGCCGCGUGAGUGAUGGAGGCCUUCGGAUCGUAAAACUCUGUUAUUAGGGAAGAACAGCUUUGUACGUAACUGUACCGAUCGUGACGGUACCGGAUCAAAAAGCACCGGCUAACUACGUG
rnacentral:rRNA from 1 species